UGUAGGAGCUGCCGCAGGCUGCGAUCUUUUGAUCUUGAUCUUAAAAAAAUCAAAAGAUCGCAGCCUGCGGCAGCUCCUACA
rnacentral:misc_RNA from 1 species